rnacentral:rRNA from 1 species
GGGGAAUAUUGGACAAUGGGCGAAACCUUGAUCCAGCCAUGCGGCGGGUGUGAAGAAGGCCUCGGGAUUGUAAAGACCUUUAGGUGGGGGGGAGGGGUUUUUGGUUAAUAUCCAGGAAUUUUGAGGUUACGGACGGAAUAAGCACGGGCAAACUCCUGCCAGCAGCCGCGGUAAUACGAAGGGUGCAAGCGUUAAUCGGAAUUACUGGGCGUAAAGCGCGCGUAGGUGGUUCGUUAAGUUGGAUGUGAAAGCCCCGGGCUCAACCUGGGAACUGCAUCCAAAACUGGCGAGCUAGAGUACGGUAGAGGGUGGUGGAAUUUCCUGUGUAGCGGUGAAAUGCGUAGAUAUAGGAAGGAACACCAGUGGCGAAGGCGACCACCUGGACUGAUACUGACACUGAGGUGCGAAAGCGUGGGGAGCAAACA